rnacentral:rRNA from 1 species
GCCUUGCUGCUACGAUCCACUGAGAUUCGGCCUCACCGUCCCACAGAUUUGU